AUUCUUCGUCACACUAUUUCAUGUUUUUCUUCCACACAAACGGCGAACUACGAAGAUCCCUUUCGUGGUUGCUCCUGCUUUUUAUUUUCUCUUCUCCCGGGAGCUCGGGGGAGCGCAAAAACCCUACGAAAAUCGCCAGCGACGGGGCGGAAAUCCGAAAGAAACCGGAGUCAAUCCUGGGAAUCAAGGAGGGUUUCGCCUUCUCCAUUUUGUUUCGUGGUUACGCUCUCUCCAUGGCAGGAGGGCGUUUCUGUAGAUUCGACCGAUGAGGAGGAAUGGUCGGUGAUAUGAAAAUCGAGGAGGGCUCCUUGACUCGGUAUCUCGUGGCGAAUCUUGGACCCUUGACUGAGGCAGACCCUGUUAUCCUUGCCAAGUAUGUGGAAGCACUACUAAAGAAAGAUAAGCCGACAAAAGAACUGCAAAAGCUUUGCUUAGAGAAUUUGAGUGAAUUUCUUGGUCAUGAGACAAACUCCUUUAUUGCAAAACUGUUCCAGGAUCUAGAAAAUGGUUCCAUCUCCACUGCCGCCGAGAGUAGAGAAAUACAAGAGCGAGUUGAACCAUCACCAGCUCCAAUUUCUAUUGAUACUACUGAAAUAAAAGGCUCUCCUCCAAAAGAAGAAAGAUUUUUGUCCACUGCUCACUAUAAUGAUCUUGAAAAGAAUGAUAUAACUGAUGAUGAAGACGAUGAUCGCAAUCACAAGCAUCGUAGACGAGAAACGCGGUCCCAGUCUUUGGAUAGAGAUACCCAGGAUCAGCUUAUGCAUAGACCUGGUAGAAAGAGGAGCAAACCUUUUGAGAAUGGACAGAUGUUCAUGGAUGCUGAGCCUCAUUCUGCUUUCCAAAACGAUCUUGCUAACUCUGACAGAGAUACAUCCUUGAAGUUUGAGAAACGGCGUCCUGGUUUGACACCAUUUCCUCGCCCUUCUUUUGACUCUGGCCCAAGAACAAGAACAGCUUCCUCUUUGCGGAAUGAUAUCAAUUCUCGUUUUGAUACAUCAGUUUCAUUUGGUCGACCUGCAGUAGGUAAAGGAAGAGGAAGGGGUACAGGCAUAUGGAAUGUGCAUGAUUCAAGAUUUAAUUCAGUAGAAUCUCUUGAUUUUUCAUCUUCAUUGGCUCCUCAUGGACCAACAGCCUCAAGUAUUUUUCCUGGAAGGGGAUUGACUAAUACUGCAAGUACACCUAAUGCAUCUUGGAGUGCAUUUGGGAUGUUACAAGGGAUGCCUAAUGGUGGACUUGAUCCACUUCAUCCACUGCAUUCUGGUUUGCAAGGAGCACUUCCACGACCUUUAAAUCCUUCAAUAAGUAUUGGCUUGCCUAGGGCUCGUUGUAGAGAUUUUGAGGAGCGUGGAUUUUGCCUGAGGGGAGACAUGUGUCCAAUGGAGCAUGGUGUAAAUCGGAUUGUUGUCGAAGAUGUUCAGAGCCUUUCCCAGUUCAAUCUUCCGGUAUCAAUUCCUAGUGGUCAACUCUUGGGAAUUCAAUCGGGUACAGGGCCUGGACCUUCAGCAUCUUUGCCCCCAACACCACUUUUGUCCAGUAACAGGGGUCCAGAAGCUAAAACGGGAAAAUAUGGACUGGGUGAUGAAGGCUUCAGCUUAAAUGGAGCUUUAUCAAGUGCAGUUACUGAUAAUGAAGCUGACUUGUAUGACCCUGAUAAGCCAUUGUGGAAUAAUGAGCGUCUUGAGGCAUCAAGUGGUCUUGCCAGACUCUCCUCACCUAAAAUUGAUGAUGCAGAACCUGCAUGGGAUGCUCAUUCUUCUGAUAGUCAUAGUUUUAGAUUUUCUGAGGGUAAUGAAAGUAAUAGGACAUCUCGAAACGUAGGGAUUUCUGGUUUGGCACAGACAACCUCAUCUGUGUGGGGCAGGAUUGGCAGUGGCAGCAAAAUAGAGGUGGCUGCUAAGUUGGGCAAUGAUCCGGCCAGCAGUAGUUAUCCUGUCACAGGGAAAAAGGAAAAUGAAGUGGAGAAAUUGAUCAAUGUCCAAGAUGUAUCUAACCAAGGAAAAUCAACAGUUAGGGAAUUGGAGUCCAAAAACUCUUUGGCUACACGUAGAAUGCGCAUGAAUUUUGUGCCUGGAAAUGGGAAGGCUUCUGAAAAAGCAUAUAGUACUCUAUUUGUAAAUUGCAUUCCCCAAAAGAAUAACAAAAGGGAGAUCCUUCUUUCCCAUUUUCAGAAAUUUGGGGAUGUUAUUGAUAUAUAUAUACCUCCAAACAGUGAAAAAGCUUUUGUUCAGUUCUCUAGAAGGGAAGAUGCAGAGGCUGCAUUGAAGGCACCAGAUGCAGUAAUGGGCAAUCGUUUCAUCAAGUUAUGGUGGGCAAAUCGUGAUAAUAUUCCACAUGAUGCAGAAGGCAGUAUCAACAAUAUGUCUACUGGCUUCCAUGUUGGGGUUCCUGCUGCAGUUAUGUCCCAGGCUGAUAAGGGAAAGGAAAAUCUCCAGUCUUCUUCAAAAGCAGUUACACACCCUGCUCCAGAAACUUUAGCUUCUAAGGAAGCUGCAGCUGAUAGCCUCAAAGCAGUGCCUUUGCAAAAGAAGUUGGAAUUGGAGAUUUUAAAGGAGGAGCUGCGGAAGAAGCAAGAAAUGCUAGAACAAAAGCGUAAUGAUUUCCGGCGGCAGUUGGUUAAACUUGAAAAGCAAGGGAUUAAUGUUAAGGGCGAAACUUCAGGCAAGGCCAUUCAACAACAGAAAGCCGUUACUGUAUCUGCGACUGAUGCUACGUCUCAUUUUAAAGUUUCAGCUCCUAGUUCAGCAACACAUAUGGAAGUAAAAGUGCUGGAGAAAAGCAGUUCAGGGGACAAUGUUGCUUCCCCUAGCUUGAAGGCAUAUCCAGGAAUACAAGCACCACCAAAUAGUUUUAGACAGUCAAGUUGUUUACCUUCCCCAAUGGGCGUUUCAUCGGUUGUCAAUCGCUUUAAAUUGGAUAAUCGUCCUACUUCAUUUAGAGUCCUCCCACCCCUUCCAGUUAAUCUUGCUAAUGCCUCAGUUCUAAAGGAGCAUUUUGCAGCAUUUGGUGACCUAACUGCAGUUGAAAUAGAUGAUGUAGAUGGCCAAUCUGACACUGUGGAUGAAAAUCCUGUGAAAGAGUAUUCUGCGCGAAUAAUAUUCUCAACUCGCCGGUCUGCAGAGCGUGCAUUUCUAAAUGGCAAAUGCUUACAGGGGCACAAUUUACAGUUUGUCUGGAUUCCAAGUUCUUCUGUUUCUAGAGGGCAUACUUCUGGUGAGAAUUCUGAAAGUUCCCUAAAGAAGGAGUCUGCUGAGGAAAUAUUGCCUGAAGGGCUAAAGUCUUGCUCUUCGUCCCCUCCAUCUACUGCAAAAGCAAGUCAAGGUGCUGCAGCUUUAUGUCCUACCCCUGUAAUUGCAGAAACAGUUAAUGAAGAAGGCACAAAAGAUGCAGCUGAGAGCACAGUAAAGCAACAAAUGGAGUCAAACAGUGAUAGGCUAUCAGAUGAGAAAAGAGCUACUGGGGAUGUUGACAAUAUGAGUAUUGAUAGCAAAGUUGAGAACUCUGAUCAUGAUCCACAAAGCUAACUGGUGCUUGAAGAUGAUCUUAGUCCUGAUCUGACACUUUGAGGCCUAAAUCUUCUCAUUUUGUGGCACUCUGGUCAAUGGAUCGUUUCUGCUAAGUAUCAGCAAUGGCUGUCGAUCUGAGAGGUCCGCUGCCUGCUUCCUUCACAUUCAAAUGCAAAAGAUUCUAUUAUAUUCUUGUUUUCCAUUGAUAGUUGCUCCUCAGCCUUACACUAUCAGAAUCUGCAAGGGAAAUCUAAACUCAAGUAAUUUUUUUGCACUUGGUUCUUUUAGAUUAGCGCAAAGUGCAGGCCGAUCUCACAAAAGUUCUGGGUGAGUGUGGAUGUAACCUUAUGUCAGUUUCCCAAGAUCAUUGAUGAAGCAUAAGAAGCUUCUUCGGUACUCCAGUUAUGCGGGCAUAGAUAUUUUGAGAAGCAUAUCUCCUGAACGUAGCUAUGCUUUAUCUGAUAUUUGAUUUCUUUAUGGAGUGGUAGGGUCUAUCUACUGAUAAUAGUCCUAUACUCCUACAGACGUUUGAUUCCUUAUGGUGUAUGAUACUGUCAAGGGGUAAUUUUUUUGUUCUUUUCUGUUCUCGUUUGCUUAGAUGAGCAGUAUAUGUUUCAAUACAUGACUAGUUUGUUAGUGACUAAUGCCAGCGUUUUUUCCAUA